GAUGAUAUAGUUUACGGUAAGAAUGCGUACUCUGCAAGUAUGAGGUGGGAUUUUCCUAUUGUUG
rnacentral:tRNA from 1 species